UACAGAGGUCUCGAGCGUUGUUCGGAUUCAUUGGGCGUAAAGGGUGCGUAGGUGGCGUGGUAAGUCUGGUGUGAAAUCCCGGGGCUCAACCCCGGAACUGCACUGGAUACUGCCAUGCUUGAGUACUGGAGAGGAGAUUGGAAUUUACGGUGUAGCAGUGAAAUGCGUAGAUAUCGUAAGGAAGACCAGUGGCGAAGGCGAGUUUCUGGACGGUAACUGACGCUGAGGCACGAAGGCCAGGGGAGCAAACGGG
rnacentral:rRNA from 1 species